UCAAGGAAAAUGUGGAUUUUUUAAAAACUCCCUCUACAAACUAAUCCAAUCCACGCAGAUGGACAAGUUCCAGCGCUUUAUUGUGACUCAGACUUCAAUACAAUCAAAGAACUGUUGGCAACAUUCCUGGGUAUUGGUGGCGACCAUCUGCAGAGGAUUUCUGGGGAAAGGGCUGCAGCUCCUGUUUAAGCCGUGCUUUCCAGCACACAGAUCGAUUUGGAAUUCACAUGAACAAAAACCUUGUGCUGUUUAGUCACAGAAAAGAUCUGCGCAAUACAUGAAAGAAAAAGAGACGUCACGCUGGUAUUUUGUGAAUCUGAAUGAUCUGCCCUCCAAAUUGGAUAUACUAUAAAUAGUCCCAGAGAAUGGAGGGCAGUAGUUUGAGAUCAUUUCAACCCAUCAGUAUAAGAAGAAAUUAACAACAGGAUGCAGAAUAUGGUGUUACUGUUGUGGAUAAAGUGCAGUGAGGGCCCAGAGUAAUUGCGGGGAGAAAGGCAGACAAGUACAAACUGAAAUGACCAGGCUGGUGCAGACAGGCCACACAACAAUGAUCUCCUGUUUCCGACGUCUUUGGGAGCAGCCUUGCUUCUGUUAACAGGCACACUGACGAUGCAGUGCAGAUUGAAAGCGUGCCUGAACCGGACAGGCUAGGCCGGGUGCACUCGGCCAGUCACGAGGAAAAAGAGUGGAAUGCGUGCUGCAUCUGU